rnacentral:rRNA from 1 species
GAUGAACGCUAGCGGCAGGCCUAAUACAUGCAAGACGAACGGUAAGUUGAGUAGCAAUACUUAGCCAAGAGUGUCGUACGGGUGCGUAACACGUAUGCAACCUACCCUAUACAGGAGGAUAGCCUAGGGAAACCUGGAUUAACCCUUCAUAGUAUUAUUGGAUGGCAUCAUUUGAUAAUUAAAACUGAGGUGGUAUAGGAUGGGCAUGCGUCUGAUUAGUUAGUUGGCGGGGUAAUGGCCCACCAAGACGAUGAUCAGUAGGGGUUCUGAGAGGAAGAUCCCCCACACUGGCACUGAGAUACGGGCCAGACUCCUACGGGAGGCAGCAGUAGGGAAUAUUGGUCAAUGGAUGCAAGUCUGAACCAGCCAUGCCGCGUGCAGGAAGAAGGCCUUCGUGGGUUGUAAACUGCUUUUGCCAGGGAUAAAUUCCAUGCGUGGAAACUGAAGGUACCUGGUAGAAUAAGCCACGGCUAACUACGUGCCAG